CCUACGGGAGGCAGCAGUGGGGGAUAUUGCACAAUGGUGGAAACCCUGAUGCAGCGACGCCGCGUGUGGGAAGACGGUCCUCUGGGUUGUAAACCACUGUCCCCAGGGACGAAGAUGACGGUACCUGGGGAGGAAGCUCCGGCUAACUACGUGCCAGCAGCCUCGGUAAUACGUAGGGAGCGAGGGUUGUCCGGAAUUACUGGGUGUAAGGGGAGCGUGGGCGGGGAUGCAGGUUGGGUGUCAAAACUACCGGCUCAACUGGUAGUCGCACUCAAAACUGGAGCUCUUGAGUGAAGUAGAGGCAGGCGGAAUUCCUAGUGUAGCGGUGAAAUGCGUAGAUAUUAGGAGGAACACCAGUGGCGAAGGCGGCAUGCUGGGCUUUUACUGACGCUGAGGCUCGAAAGUGUGGGGAGCAAACAGGAUUAGAUACCCGAGUAGUC
rnacentral:rRNA from 1 species